GGAUGUAAGGGUGAGCUGGCUGCAGCAUCUGUCACCCCAUUAAUUGCAAGGGUUGAUCCGGCUGAUCUGGCUAGCUAGGCAGGUGUCCCCUUCCUCCCUCACCACUCCAUGUGAGCCCCUCCAGAAGGUGCACACUUGGUCAAAGAGUAUGACCACCUCCGAUAGACAAGGACCAUUUCCUCGGUCAAGGGUAUAUGAGUAGCUGCACUUCCUUGCUGGAACCUCCAAACAAGCUCUCAAGAUAAUCCUUCAUAAUCAGACUUGCUCUAUAAAAAAAGUGACUGAGAGUCUUUAAGUUGAGAUAAAAGAAUCUAAGCCAAGCACCCUUGCAAUCCUAGCACUUGGGAGGCU
rfam:Fukomys damarensis contig103558, whole genome shotgun sequence.